rnacentral:rRNA from 1 species
AUUGAACGCUGGCGGCAUGCUUUACACAUGCAAGUCGAACGGCAGCGCGGGCUUCGGCCUGGCGGCGAGUGGCGAACGGGUGAGUAAUGCAUCGGAACGUGCCCAGUAGUGGGGGAUAGCCCGGCGAAAGCCGGAUUAAUACCGCAUACGACCUGAGGGUGAAAGCGGGGGACCGAAAGGCCUCGCGCUCUUGGAGCGGCCGAUGUCGGAUUAGCUAGUUGGUGGGGUAAAGGCUUACCAAGGCGACGAUCCGUAGCUGGUCUGAGAGGACGACCAGCCACACUGGGACUGAGACACGGCCCAGACUCCUACGGGAGGCAGCAGUGGGGAAUUUUGGACAAUGGGGGCAACCCUGAUCCAGCCAUGUCGCGUGCGGGAAGAAGGCCUUCGGGUUGUAAACCGCUUUUGUUCGGGAAGAAAUCCUCUGGGCUAAUACCCCGGGGGGAUGACGGUACCGGAAGAAUAAGCACCGGCUAACUACGUG